rnacentral:rRNA from 1 species
GCUUAGAAGUAAACCAAGGCAGCAACCUCACCACCACUGCCCGCCAGAGUACUACAAGUGAAAAACUUAAAACUCAAAGGACUUGACGGCAUUCCACACCACACUAGAGGAGCCUGUCCUAUAAUCGAUAACCCACGUUGCACCUCACCUGUGCUAGCACAAUCAGCCCAGCCUAUAUACCGCCGUCUACAGCCCACCUUGCAAAAGAACCACCAGCGGGCAAGCCAGCCCUUAUAACGCUAACACGCCAGGUCAAGGUGUAGCUAACGCACAGGCAGAGAUGGGCUACAUUUUCUACAAAACAGAAAACCACCACCCGCACCAUGAAACAAGUGCACAAAGGAGGAUUUAGCAGUAAGCCACGCAAGACCGCCUGACUGAACACCGCCCUGGAAUGCGU